UACAGAGGUCCCAAGCGUUGUUCGGAUUCACUGGGCGUAAAGGGUGCGUAGGCGGUCGGGUAAGUCUGAUGUGAAAUCUCACAGCUUAACUGUGAAACUGCAUUGGAUACUAUCCGGCUAGAGGAAUGGAGGGGAGACUGGAAUACUUGGUGUGCAGUGAAAUGCGUAGAUAUCAAGUGGAACACCAGUGGCGAAGGCGAGUCUCUGGACAUUUCCUGACGCUGAGGCACGAAAGCCAGGGGAGCAAACGGG
rnacentral:rRNA from 1 species